rnacentral:rRNA from 1 species
UACGUAGGGUGCGAGCGUUGUCCGGAAUUAUUGGGCGGAAAGGGCGCGUAGGCGGCUUGAUGUGUCAAAGGUGAAAUCCCUCGGCUCAACUGAGGAACUGCCUUUGAAACUGUCUGGCUUGAGGCCGGGAGAGGGUAGCGGAAUUCCCAGUGUAGCGGUGAAAUGCGUAGAUACUGGGAGGAACACCGGUGGCGAAGGCGGCUACCUGGACCGGUUCUGACGCUGAUGCGCGAAAGCGUGGGUAGCAAACAGG